ensembl:lncRNA
GCCAAAUAUUUUGAAAUCUUAGAAAAUCAUGUUUAUAUUAAUAUUAUUGCAAUUUCUAUCAAAUAUAAUUUUAAAUGUGAGUUUAAUCUAUACAAGCAGAUAUUCAAAAACAGUAAUCAUCAGUUAUCUUAGAAUUUUAUCAUGUGCCUAAUAUCCACCUCUAUAUAAAUCAUUGGUUUAGUCUUAACUUUUCACCUAGCCCCCUCAAAAAACCUAAUGAAAAUAUGCACUGUCCUCUAAAAAAUGUUGCAGAACCAUAUUUUCAAAGUUUUACAUUCUGUUAGGUAGUUCAUAGAUCCACCCCAAAGUCUUCACUGUGGGCAGCAGUUUGAGAACCACUGAAAUGUCAGUGUAGUAGUUUUGUGUUAGCAUGUGUUCUUUUUUUCCUUAUUUAAAGUGUGAUUAUUUCUGGUAGAUAUUUUAAAAUAUCUACGUUAUCACACAACAAAAUUGAUUUUACCAGAAGAUCACUUGGUAUGCAUUUAAUACAUAAUUUUCUUUUAAGACAAUAGUGGAAGUUAAUGUAUAAAUGUGUUAUGAAAAUUUUUCUAGCUUCAUGUGCCAGUAUGUAGAAUUGUACUUUUAACUUUAAUAGAUUUGUUCUAAAUACUGAUUAUAUAUUAGCUCUUAUACAAAUAUUACUUAAAUAUAUAUACUUUCCAAAUUUUGAGUCUUGUUUCCUUUUCAGAAUCAUAUAAAAAAAUUGGAAGGAGAGACUUACCAGUACCACUGUGCUGUUCUUGGAAGCAAGAGUACAGUCUUUAUGGUUACAAAUAGGUAGGCGAGUACUCUGCCUAAAGGAAGUUGAGAUAAUGGGCCAUAUGUUUCUAGACUGGCAGUGUCCAUUUGAAGAUUUUGUACUUCCUCCUAGUGUGACAGAGAAUCUGCUCCAGAUUUCAGUUAAGGAGCAAGGUCUGUUCCAGAAAAAAGAUGGUGCCAGUCCAGGCUGUCUUCGGAAAAUUUACCUGAAAGAUACCGCCACAGCACAGGUAAGCUGUUGUAAAGAACCCCUUACUCAUUGUGGUGGUACACACAUAUAAUCGCACUGACUCAGGAAGCUGAGACAGGAGGAUUGCAAGAUUGAGAAGAGCCUGAGUAACUUAGCAAAUGCCUGUCUCAAAAAUCAAAGAGGGCAUUGGAGAUAGCUCAGUGGUAGAGCACUUGCCAAGCAUGCCCAAGGUCCAGGGUUCAAUUCCCAGUGUCUCAAAAAAUAAAGAGCGCCCCUUUAGCCUGUUAUGACUAACACCCAUUAUUUCUCCCCAAAGCUCUUGUGGUUACACCUUUGGCUGGGUAGACAUGCGUAGAGUAACCGUGGACUCCCUAGAAUGCAGAGAUUGUAUCUGCAUUAUGUGUGCAGCGGCAGCCUUGUCCUUAAGUACGGGAUCUGGGCUGCGAGCUCCAGCGCUUGCUUUUGUUCCUUUCCAUUUCACCAGUUGAGCCUGAACUUGUCUUUCCAGUUCAUAAUGCAGCUUUUAUUUUACAGAGAGCCUUUUGUGCCAUUGAGAAUGCACAGUCAAGGAGACACCAGCAAAAACUGAUGAAGCAGUCGUCAGUGAAACGUCUCAGGUCCCAAGUACCGUUGUCAUAGUCACCAGUCCCAGAGGGCUGGUAGUGAUGAAAAAAACACCCUUCUGUAUCCUGCUAAAGAGAAGUUUUCAGGCAGUUGUUUAGGUUUAUUAUUUUAGAGUAGCUAAUAUUGGAUUCCUUCUCCAAGCUUUUAGUUUUGAUAGUUAAUUUUGCAAUCAUGUGUAUAUUAGUCCACCUGUAGACUGCCACUUGAAUGGGUCAGACUCGAAGAAAUAUCGCUUCAGACUUGGACUGAAAUUUUCAUUAACACAUGAAGCAAAGGGCAGCAGGUUUAUUUUUAAAGUCUGCUAAAGAAUGAGUUUAGAAUGACUAGUGUGCUCUGAAAGGUUUUAGCCAAAGACGUAUGCUGGACACUUUGACAUUUUGUUUAAAAGUAAUUUGUUCAGUAAUUGAACUGAGAGAACAUUUUUGGUAAACCAGAUAAUUGACUGAAGAAAAGCCACUAAAAGGAGAACUGACAUGUUCGUUCUGUUCUGUUCUUUUCUUUUCUUUCUUCCUUUCUUCCUUCCUUCCUUCCUUCUUUCCUUCCUCCCCCCCCGCUCGGGGUCGCUCUUUCUUUCUUUCUUUCUGUCUUUCUUUGUUUCAUGAAAACAUGAUUUUCUCCUAAUAGCACAAAUUUUGCUUUGGUGCUUAGUUUUCUUCCUUGCACUAGAAAAAAGAAACGUGGGCAAUCACACCUUAAAACAGCUAUACUCAAUUGUCUGUAAUGUAACAUAAAAUUUUAAAAGUUAUUUACAUGCUCUUUUAAGAUGAGCUCAUAUGACAUGGUUGUAAUUUGCUGAUAAAUGAAGACACUGCACUUUAAGUUUUUUGGGACUCAGAAAUAUGUAACAUGCAAUAUUUUUGUAUUUUUAGAAGUUAAAAGACUUUCAAGGACAUCAUCAAUUAACAUUUGAUUCUAGUGCAUACUUAUAAAUGUAUUUUAAAUACUAGGGAAAAUGAAAAAUCACCAGUUGUUUUAUAUAUAAGUAAAGCACAAGUAGGUGUAUAUAACAGUACUGGAGAAGAAAUGUUACAUGUAUCCCUUCCUUUUCCUUGAGCAGGUGUUAGGGCAUCAAUUCAAGACAAUAUAUUUUUAUCCUUUCUGCAUCUUUCUUCAAAGACACAUGACUUUCAAAACUUUUUUAAAAAUACUUGCAAGUAUUUAAUUUGGGAGGACUUUAAGAUUUACUCAUGGUGUUGAACAUAGAAUUUAUUUCAAAUCAUUGAAUCAGUGGUGAAAUGAAGAUGUGCAAAAACUUGAUUUGGUCUCUUUGUUGAUGUGUGGUAUUGGGUCUGUUAUCAUUCAUUGUUCAUGUUUUUUAAGACCUGGCCAUAAAACUAAGAAUGUUCCCCGUGUUGCAGAAGAGAGUGCAGUGAUUACAGCCCUAGAGGUCUGGUUUGUCAUAGUCCUUGCCUUUUCAUCAUUUGUCUUUAAUUUCUGUGAAUAAAAGUAAUAUACAUGUAUAUAAAACUUCUAUCUUUAAAAACCAAGUUUCUGUAUUAGUGGUUAAUGGCAAUUUAUUAAAACAAGACAGUUUUGUACCAGGUAUUCUACUAUUUUGUGUUUUUAAAAAUGACUUAAUCAGGAAUUUGAAAUAAUCUGAUUAUAUUUUCAUAUGGAUCACAACUAUUGACAGUGUCCUAAAUAUUUAGGAAAUUAUAUUGCACUGAUAGUGUAUUCUAUAAGUGGAUGUACAGAAUAUUGAACUAAGAAAAAUUAUAGAAAUCUAUAAACUCAUUAUCUUAGUUGGCUUAGAAAUGAACUAUCUAAUAUUUGCAACAUUUUUGAUGUAAUCCUCUGGAGGAGAAGGAAUCUGUCAGUAAAGUGUAGUAAGGUCUGUCGUAUUUAAAAAAAUACUUUCAAAGUCAAUUACUUGGAUAUAAAUUCUGAGACAAAUAAAACAUUUGAAAUAUUGUUUAUAAGUGUGCAAACUUGUGAGUUUGUGUUAAAUACUCAAGUAAAAAUUUGCUUUUAAUUUUUGUCUUUCUCUUUUCCUCUUCCAAUUUUGCAGUAGUGAGAAGUUAGAUUAAUAAUUGCCUAACUUUAAAAGAUCCUAUUCAGGGAAAGCUUUUUUCCAGAGCCCUUUAACAUCGAGGGUCUGUGGCACAGACCCCAGUGUAGGGGCUGCAAAGAAGGAGCCUGUGCUACACUGUGAAGUCCAUCGCCGCAUUUGCAUUGAGCUGGUGCCUUCCGUGAGUCCUCAGCACCCAUAGGCCUGUUCUGGAUGCUCCCUGUUCACUUUGGCUUGCAGACUCCCCAGUGGCUGGGCAGAACCUUUACACUGCAUGGGAGUAUAGGAUACCUCUCUCCAGUCUCCUUUCUCUUUUCCCUUGCUCCCUCCACUCAUUCUCUCUUUUCUUCUGUCUUUCCCCCUGGGGCUCAGACUACAAGUCUGCAAGCUCCCCCAGUAGGGGAUUAUCCAGUGGGAAGAAGAGGCCCACAGCCUCACUCUGUGGAGUCUAGUAGAGCAGGAGAAUCCACAUCAAGAGAACAGAAAAUCAGAAGAGUAAACGUAAGCUUUGUAAGAAAAGUCUCAUGUAGCAUAAACUUCGUAUGUAUGUUUCGUUUGUUAGUAUUGGCAGCCACGACCGUGCAGCUCUAUACACAGUAAGAUGAACCGCUCCAGAAAGUGACAGGAAUGAUAAUGUAAGUGUCUUCUAAGUGAGGGGGACAGUAUUUUGAGGUGGUUUAAAGCCAUUGUAUCUUUUACUGUAAUAAAAUGUUGAAAAAUUUAGGCAGUACAGUAACUUUUUGAUCAUACCUCACCAAUCUGUAUACCCAUGGAAUUCUCCAUUAUUAAAUUUGCUUCUGAAAAAUCAUAGGAUAUGAGAGAAACCACGAGAAACAAUUUUCCUCCCUUUUCAGAGCAUGCUGGUAUUUCGUUUUAUACUUAUAGCAAGUUGUUUUGAUAAUGUGUUCAAAGUAAUCAGCACUGACAUAGGGGAGACGGAAAUGUUGCCACUUGAUUCUGCAUUGUAAGGAUUUGUGAUACUCAAGAAAAUAUGACAGAAGAAUGUAAUGAUUUCUGUCGCUUUUGUAUGUAAAGUAAACAUCAUCUGUUGGAAUAAAUGAUUUUUUUUUUUUUGUACCGGGGUCAAACUUGGGUCCUUGUGCUUGCAAGGCAGGCUGCGGUACCACUGAGCUAAAUCUCCGGCCCGGAAUAAAUGAUUGAUAAUGUUGAUCUCUAGUGAAAAAAAUGAUUAUGGUAGUAAUAAAAUAAACCAACAUGGUCCUCUAGAUUGAUAGUAUUCACUAAGAUAAUAAUGAACACUGUUCAGAGGAUUUACUUCUUUUAGCAUUAAUUCUUUUCAACUUGAAGAAAGAUCAAGUGAUUCCCCUGCCGAGAUUAACUAUAGUGCCUAAAAUUUCCUAAUUAUGGUUUAAAUUCCAUGAUAAAUAAAUUUCAACACUACAUUUCAGAUUUUGCUAUUUCUGUUAUUUUUGUAGAAAACACAAGGUACAAGUUUUUCUCUUAGAUAACCCACUUUCCUCUUCUGCCAUCUUUUAAGUCUUAUUAUACUUUAUUUUCUUUUUUUUAGUGCC